rnacentral:rRNA from 1 species
CCUACGUGAGGCAGCAGUGGGGAAUAUUGCGCAAUGGGCGAAAGCCUGACGCAGCGACGCCGCGUGAGGGAUGAAGGUCUUCGGAUCGUAAACCUCUGUCAGCAGGGAAGAACGGUCACUGUGCUAAUCAGCAGUGAAUUGACGGUACCUGCAAAGGAAGCACCGGCUAACUCCGUGCCAGCAGCCGCGUGAAUACGGAGGGUGCGAGCGUUAAUCGGAAUUACUGGGCGUAAAGCGCUCGUAGGCGGUAUGUCAAGUCAAGGGUGAAAUCCCCGCGCUCAACGUGGGAACUGCCUUUGAAACUGGCAAACUGGAGUGUGUGAGAGGAUAGUGGAAUUCCAGGUGUAGGAGUGAAAUCCGUAGAUAUCUGGAGGAACAUCAGUGGCGAAGGCGACUAUCUGGCACAUAACUGACGCUGAGGAGCGAAAGCGUGGGUAGCAAACAGGAUUAGAUACCCGGGUAGUC